rnacentral:snRNA from 1 species
GAACCUGAGAUGUGAAACAUCUGUCACCCCAUUGAUCUUCAGGGUUGAUUUGGUUCAUCUGGCUGGCUAGGCAGAUGUCCCAUACCUCCCUCACUGAUCCAUCAGUGUCCCUCCUAAAUAAAAAAAAACCUGUUAGAUAAGGUUUAAGAACUUUUGCAGAUGAACUGCUGAUUUCCAAUUAGG